UUGCUUCUGAAGCACAUGUAUUAAAAUUGGAAUGAGAAGGCUAGCAUGGCCCCUGCACAAGGAUGACACCAAAAUUCAUGAAGGGUUCCAUUUUUUC
rnacentral:snRNA from 1 species